rnacentral:rRNA from 1 species
GAUGAACGCUGGCGGCGUGCCUAAUACAUGCAAGUCGAGCGAACGGACGAGAAGCUUGCUUUUCUGAUGUUAGCGGCGGACGGGUGAGUAACACGUGGAUAACCUACCUAUAAGACUGGGAUAACUUCGGGAAACCGGAGCUAAUACCGGAUAAUAUUUUGAACCGCAUGGUUCAAAAGUGAAAGACGGUCUUGCUGUCACUUAUAGAUGGAUCCGCGCUGCAUUAGCUAGUUGGUAAGGUAACGGCUUACCAAGGCAACGAUGCAUAGCCGACCUGGGAGGGUGAUCGGCCACACUGGAACUGAGACAGGGUCCAGACUCCUACGGGAGGCAGCAGAAGGGAAUCUUCCGCAAUGGGCGAAAGCCUGACGGAGCAACGACGAGUGAGUGAUGAAGGUCUUCGGAUCGUAAAACUCUGUUAUUAGGGAAGAACAUAUGUGUAAGUAACUGUGCACAUCUUGACGGUACCUAAUCAGAAAGCCACGGCUAACUACGUG